GACGAACGCUGGCGGCGUGCUUAACACAUGCAAGUCGAACGGAAAGGCCCUGCUUUUGUGGGGUGCUCGCGUGGCGAACGGGUGAGUAACACGUGAGUAACCUGCCCUUGACUUUGGGAUAACUUCAGGAAACUGGGGCUACUACCGGCUAGGUGCUCCUGCUGCUUGGUGGGGGUUGGAAAGUUUCGGCGGUUGGGGAUGUACUCGCGGCUUAUCAGCUUGUUGGUGGGGUAGUGGCUUACCCAGGCUUUGACGGGUAGCCGGCCUGAGAGGGUGACCGGCCACAUUGGGACUGAGAUACGGACCAGACUCCUACGGGAGGCAGCAGUGGGGAAUAUUGCACAAUGGGCGGAAGCCUGAUGCAGCAACGCCGCGUGCGGGAUGACGGCCUUCGGGUUGUAAACCGCUUUCGCCUGUGACGAAGCGUGAGUGACGGUAAUGGGUAAAGAAGCACCGGCUAACUACGUG
rnacentral:rRNA from 1 species